AGCUUUCGAAUCCGUGCUGAGAUUUCGUCAGACACCAACCCAAUAGGGCUGAUCAUAUUUCCAAGAUAAGUGGAGUC
rnacentral:pre_miRNA from 1 species